rnacentral:rRNA from 1 species
AUUGAACGCUGGCGGCAGGCUUAACACUUGCAAGUCGAGCGGGGAAAGGUAGCUUGCUACCUGACCUAGCGGCGGACGGGUGAGUAAUGCUUAGGAAUCUGCCUAUUAGUGGGGGACAACAUCUCGAAAGGGAUGCUAAUACCGCAUACGUCCUACGGGAGAAAGCAGGGGACCUUCGGGCCUUGCGCUAAUAGAUGAGCCUAAGUCGGAUUAGCUAGUUGGUGGGGUAAAGGCCUACCAAGGCGACGAUCUGUAGCGGGUCUGAGAGGAUGAUCCGCCACACUGGGACUGAGACACGGCCCAGACUCCUACGGGAGGCAGCAGUGGGGAAUAUUGGACAAUGGGGGGAACCCUGAUCCAGCCAUGCCGCGUGUGUGAAGAAGGCCUUUUGGUUGUAAAGCACUUUAAGCGAGGAGGAGGCUACCGAGAUUAAUACUCUUGGAUAGUGGACGUUACUCGCAGAAUAAGCACCGGCUAACUCUGUG